rnacentral:rRNA from 1 species
UACGAAGGGGUCUAGCGUUGUUCGGAAUUACUGGGCGUAAAGGGCGCGUAGGCGGUCUUGUAAGUCAGAUGUGAAAGCCCCGGGCUCAGCCCGGGAAUAGCAUUUGAUACUGCGAGGCUUGAGUCCGGGAGAGGAUGGCGGAAUUCCCAGUGUAGAGGUGAAAUUCGUAGAUAUUGGGAAGAACACCGGUGGCGAAGGCGGCCAUCUGGACCGGUACUGACGCUGAGGCGUGAAAGCGUGGGGAGCAAACAGG